GACAGUUCCAGGACGCAGGUAUCGUUACUGUCCCCACGAUACUAAUGACGAAAAAGUACAGACAAUGUCCACAGCUACGAAAGGGUUCAGAUAGGACCAGCACCCAGCCCUCUGGCCCAGUGUCCUCCCUCAGAGAGAGAAGGUUCCCUUUGUUAAGCCAAAGGCCCUUCACAGCCAGGAAAGGUGAGUUAUCAAGUUAUGUUUAUCCUCCUGGCCUUGACACUGUCCAAGUCCUGACCGAACAAAGCUGAGUUUCCAGCUAAGAGGUCGAAGGAGCCAGAAACACACCUAGGCCUAUGCACUCUGCUUCCACCAGGAUAACAUAAGCCCAUGGACAGCCGAUGCGUGGAAAUGACUUCACUGCUAGUUUCCAUGGAUGGAGAGGGCCUCCGCAUGGGAGAGGAAACAGUGUCAUAAAAUGAAGGAUGGACCACCCUUCGGGGGACCCGGGGCUCACUUGGUUGAUGGGGAGAGCUUGAAGUCUUGCAGGGGGGGAAGCUGGCUGCUCUUUUGUGUGGCCCUUGGCAGCGGAGCCCCAUGGAGACAGCAGGGCUGGCCUCUGCACGGGGGACCCACCACCUACCUCUGGUCUGCACGACCUUCCUAUAACAACGGAGGGAAGGCAGAGCCGGAAACCCACACCAGAAGUUGCCUCCUUGGUUCAAGACGCAAUGUACAGGUCCCGGUUGGCACGAUCAACCAUAAACCGGAGAGAACGGAGAGCCAACUUGAGGCUCCGCGGGGCCCCAGGGAAGCAGGACUAAGGGAAACUCAACCGCCAAGUUCCGCAAAUUUCACAAGUUCAUUACAAACCCCAGAAGUGUUUGGUUGCUUAAAAACGAUUUAAUUUUUGCAAUCUCCCAGAGAGAGGGUGCCUCACAUUAAAACUGGUGUUGAAAACAGUGGCUCUGGGGGAUGAAGGAUGUUUCUUCUCCAGGAAGGGGAGCAGGCAAGCACAGAGACGUACCCCAGGAUCCGAGCCCUAGGAAACCCUGAGUUCUGACUCCUGAGGCGUAAGAUGCCCGUUCCCAUGGUGGAGCCAAGCCUCCCGGUGUGUAACCAGAACGGCCCCUUCUCGAGGUUCACCGAGAAGUCUGAGUGAUUCUUGUCCGAACUUUGUGCCCCGUGAGAGAGAAGACAAGGCAGACUCUUGUCAGCGUGGAGAAAGGAGUGAGCGCUGACCUCAGACGGGAUGGGGUCUGAAUCACAGCUCAGCCACUUCCUCUGUUUGUCCCUUUGACAGGUUCCUUAGUUGGGCCUCAGGUGCCUCAGCCGCCAAGGGAAGAGCCACGGGCCCUGCAACACUGGCUGUCGGGGGUGACAGUUGUGCCCGGAGGAGCAUGAUCGUCAGGAGCUGGUGGUCUGUGGGUCCCGGGCAGUGGUCUGCUGGGGCCAGGACCCAGUCAUG